rnacentral:rRNA from 1 species
CCUACGGGAGGCAGCAGUGGGGAAUUUUGGACAAUGGGCGAAAGCCUGAUCCAGCAAUGCCGCGUGCAGGAUGAAGGCCUUCGGGUUGUAAACUGCUUUUGUACGGAACGAAACGGUUCGCCUUAAUACGGUGGGCUAAUGACGGUACCGUAAGAAUAAGCACCGGCUAACUACGUGCCAGCAGCCGCGGUAAUACGUAGGGUGCGAGCGUUAAUCGGAAUUACUGGGCGUAAAGCGUGCGCAGGCGGUUAUAUAAGACAGAUGUGAAAUCCCCGGGCUCAACCUGGGACCUGCAUUUGUGACUGUAUAGCUAGAGUACGGUAGAGGGGGAUGGAAUUCCGCGUGUAGCAGUGAAAUGCGUAGAUAUGCGGAGGAACACCGAUGGCGAAGGCAAUCCCCUGGACCUGUACUGACGCUCAUGCACGAAAGCGUGGGGAGCAAACAGGAUUAGAUACCCUGGUAGUCCACGCCCUAAACGAUGUCAACUGGUUGUUGGGUCUUCACUGACUCAGUAACGAAGCUAACGCGUGAAGUUGACCGCCUGGGGAUACGGCCGCAAGGUUGAAACUUAAAGGGAAUUGACGGCUGAGAGNGCGACGACGACGACGAGGGAGGAGG